CCUCGGGAGGCUGCAGUGGGGAAUAUUGGACAAUGGGGGCAACCCUGAUCCAGCCAUGCCGCGUGUGUGAAGAAGGCCCUCGGGUUGUAAAGCACUUUCAGUGAGGAAGAACGCCUGGUGGUUAAUACCCAUCAGGAAAGACAUCACUCACAGAAGAAGCACCGGCUAACUCCGUGCCAGCAGCCGCGGUAAUACGGAGGGUGCGAGCGUUAAUCGGAAUUACUGGGCGUAAAGCGCGCGUAGGUGGCUUGAUAAGCCGGUUGUGAAAGCCCCGGGCUCAACCUGGGAACGGCAUCCGGAACUGUCAAGCUAGAGUGCAGGAGAGGAAGGUAGAAUUCCCGGUGUAGCGGUGAAAUGCGUAGAGAUCGGGAGGAAUACCAGUGGCGAAGGCGGCCUUCUGGACUGACACUGACACUGAGGUGCGAAAGCGUGGGUAGCAAACAGGAUUAGAUACCCCAGUAGUC
rnacentral:rRNA from 1 species